rnacentral:misc_RNA from 1 species
AGCAGCCGCGGUAAUUCCAGCUCCAAUAGCGUAUAUUAAAGUUGUUGCAGUUAAAAAGCUCGUAGUUGAACUUCAGGCCUGUCCAGACGGUCCGCCUUAAUUGGUGUGUACUGUCCUUGGGUGGGUCCUACCUUCUGGCGAAGCGGCAUGGCCUUAAUUGGUUGUGUCGGGGAACCAGGACUUUUACUGUGAAAAAAUUAGAGUGUUCAAAGCAGGCAAAUAUGCUCGAAUACAUUAGCAUGGAAUAAUGGAAUAGGACGAUGGUUCUAUUUUGUUGGUUCUAGGACCGUUGUAAUGAUUAAUAGGGAUAGUUGGGGGCAUUAGUAUUCAAUUGUCAGAGGUGAAAUUCUUGGAUUUAUUGAAGACUAACUACUGCGAAAGCAUUUGCCAAGGAUGUUUUCAUUAAUCAAGAACGAAAGUUAGGGGAUCGAAGACGAUCAGAUACCGCCGUAGUCUUAACCAUAAACUAUGCCGACUAGGAAUCGG